UACGUAGGUGGCAAGCGUUGUCCGGAUUUACUGAGCGUAAAGCGCGCGCAGGCGGUCGUGCAAGUCGAGUGUGAAAGCCCCCGGCUCAACUGGGGAGGGUCAUUCGAUACUGAUCGACUCGAAGGCAGGAGAGGGUAGUGGAAUUCCCGGUGUAGUGGUGAAAUGCGUAGAUAUCGGGAGGAACACCAGUGGCGAAGGCGACUACCUGGCCUGUUCUUGACGCUGAGGCGCGAAAGCUAGGGGAGCAAACGGG
rnacentral:rRNA from 1 species